AUAAAAUAAAAUAAAAUAAGAAAUAAGUGUGACUAGUUCUUCUGGACGAUAUACUCUCACUCCUAAUUUUACUUUGUAAUCCUGUGCUAUUUUGCCUUUAUGUUGUUCCAAUAUAAAUAUUGAUUUUUGUGAUGUUAGGUUUAACAUGAUGUUGGAGUAAAUUUUGAUUCAUUUAUAGUCUCGAAGAAUAUUAGGAAUAUCUCUUAUGUACUCG
rnacentral:misc_RNA from 1 species